rnacentral:rRNA from 1 species
UGGGGAAUUUUGCACAAUGGGGGAAACCCUGAUGCAGCGACGCCGCGUGAUUUAGAAGGCCUUCGGGUUGUAAAAAUCUUUUCUAUGGGAAGAAAAUGACAGUACCAUAGGAAUAAGGACCGGCUAAUCACGUGCCAGCAGCCGCGGUAAUACGUAAGGUCCGAGCGUUGUCCGGAAUCAUUGGGCGUAAAGGGUACGUAGGCGGGUAAGCAAGUUAGAAGUGAAAUCCUAUAGCUCAACUAUAGUAAGCUUUUAAAACUGCUCAUCUUGAGGUAUGGAAGGGAAAGUGGAAUUCCUAGUGUAGCGGUGAAAUGCGCAGAUAUUAGGAGGAAUACCGGUGGCGAAGGCGACUUUCUGGCCAUACCCUGACGCUGAGGUACGAAAGCGUGGGUAGCAAACAGG